GUGGGGAAUAUUGCACAAUGGGGGAAACCCUGAUGCAGCAACGCCGCGUGAGUGAAGGAGUGCUUCGGCAUGUAAAGCUCUAUCAGCAGGGAAGAAGAAGGACGGUACCUGACUAAGAAGCCCCGGCUAACUACGUGCCAGCAGCCGCGGUAAUACGUAGGGGGCAAGCGUUAUCCGGAUUUACUGGGUGUAAAGGGAGCGUAGACGGCAGCGCAAGUCUGAAGUGAAAGCCCGUGGCUCAACCGCGGAACUGCUUUGGAAACUGCGCGGCUGGAGUGCUGGAGAGGUAAGCGGAAUUCCUGGUGUAGCGGUGAAAUGCGUAGAGAUCAGGAGGAACACCGGUGGCGAAGGCGGCUUACUGGACAGUCACUGACGUUGAGGCUCGAAAGCGUGGGGAGCAAACAGGA
rnacentral:rRNA from 1 species